rnacentral:rRNA from 1 species
UACGUAGGUGGCAAGCGUUGUCCGGAUUUAUUGGGUUUAAAGGGUGCGUAGGCGGUCUUGUAAGUCAGUUCUGAAAUAUCCCGGCUUAACCGGGAGGGUGGGAUUGAUACUGCAGGACUUGAGUGGAAUCGAGGUAGGCGGAAUUGACGGUGUAGCGGUGAAAUGCUUAGAUAUCGUCAAGAACACCGAUAGUGUAGACAGCUUACUAGACUCAAACUGACGCUGAGGCACGAAAGUGUGGGGAUCAAACAGG